rnacentral:rRNA from 1 species
AGUGAACGCUGGCGGUAGGCCUAACACAUGCAAGUCGAACGGCAGCACAGUAAGAGCUUGCUCUUACGGGUGGCGAGUGGCGGACGGGCGAGGAAUACAUCGGAAUCUACUUUUUCGUGGGGGAUAACGUAGGGAAACUUACGCUAAUACCGCAUACGACCUACGGGUGAAAGCAGGGGAUCUUCGGACCUUGCGCGAUUGAAUGAGCCGAUGUCGGAUUAGCUAGUUGGCGGGGUAAAGGCCCACCAAGGCGACGAUCCGUAGCUGGUCUGAGAGGAUGAUCAGCCACACUGGAACUGAGACACGGUCCAGACUCCUACGGGAGGCAGCAGUGGGGAAUAUUGGACAAUGGGCGCAAGCCUGAUCCAGCCAUACCGCGUGGGUGAAGAAGGCCUUCGGGUUGUAAAGCCCUUUUGUUGGGAAAGAAAAGCAGCAGGUUAAUAUCCCGCUGUUCUGACGGUACCCAAAGAAUAAGCACCGGCUAACUUCGUG